GGUAAGAAAAUUUGAGACCGAAGUCAAAACUUCAAGUUUAAACCUCGCUUCCAAGCAAGAUUAAUAUUAAAAUUAGAGAUUUUAAGGUUUCUGUGUUUCGUGCAUUGACAUAUUAGAUUGGUGCCAAGAAAAUAUUAUCAAGGGGCAGAUUAUAAACAUAAGGUGCAACCUAGAAAGCAAAACUGGAAAGAAUGCAGCUGUUUAUACUGAGACAGAGAUAAAAAAAAAAAAAUGUCUUCACAAACAUCUAAAUUGGUGCUAGGGCUCUCUUGUGUUGCUACUAUUGGUAUUGUAGCCUACGUACACAUAAAACAACAAACAGAUAGAGAAAAAAUGCAUGAAGGUGUAGUCAAGGAUAUAGAACGCCAACAGAGAAGAAAAAUAGAAAACCUGUAUCUCCUUGAAAAACAAAAAGAAUUAACUAAACAGUUGAAAAAAGAAUUGGAAAGCUAGUGAAAAAAAAAAUACUGUGUAGAUAUUAAUUUUUUUUUUAUUGUUACUAUGCUAGUUGACUAAUAAAUAAACUAAAUCCCUAA